CCUACGGGAGGCAGCAGUGGGGAAUAUUGGGCAAUGGGCGCAAGCCUGACCCAGCAACGCCGCGUGAAGGAAGAAGGCUCUCGGGUUGUAAACUUUUUUUCUGAGGGACGAAGAAAGUGACGGUACCUCAGGAAUAAGUCACGGCUAACUACGUGCCAGCAGCCGCGGUAAUACGUAGGUGGCAAGCGUUAUCCGGAUUUAUUGGGUGUAAAGGGCGUGUAGGCGGGAAAGCAAGUCAGAUGUGAAAACUCAGGGCUCAAACCUGAGCCUGCAUUUGAAACUGUUUUUCUUGAGUGCUGGAGAGGGAAUCGGAAUUCGGUGUGUAGCGGUGAAAUGCGUAGAUAUACGGAAGAACACCAGUGGCGAAGGCGGAUUGCUGGACAGUAACUGACGCUGAGGCGCGAAAGCGUGGGGAGCAAACAGGAUUAGAUACCCUAGUAGUC
rnacentral:rRNA from 1 species